rnacentral:snRNA from 1 species
GACAAACAGUAUUGGCAGUAUCAUAACCAAUGAAGUUAAUCUGAGGUGUGAUUAUUGCUAGUUGAAAACUUUUCCCAAUUACUUGUUUCUGUAUUUAGGCAUGAUCGUAUGAGGUUCUCAUAAUCUUAACUUAUUGAAAUUCUACCUUUCUAUGAGA